CCUACGGGGGGCUGCAGUGAGGAAUAUUGGUCAAUGGGCUUACGCCUGAACCAGCCAAGUCGCGUGAGGGAAGACUGCCCUAUGGGUUGUAAACCUCUUUUGUCAGGGAGCAACGCCGGCUACGUGUAGCCGGACUGAGAGUACCUGAAGAAAAAGCAUCGGCUAACUCCGUGCCAGCAGCCGCGGUAAUACGGAGGAUCCGAGCGUUAUCCGGAUUUAUUGGGUUUAAAGGGAGCGUAGGUGGAUUGUUAAGUCAGUUGUGAAAGUUUGCGGCUCAACCGUAAAAUUGCAGUUGAAAGUGGCAGUCGUGAGUACAGUAGAGGUGGGCGGAAUUCGUGGUGUAGCGGUGAAAUGCUUAGAUAUCACGAAGAACUCCGAUUGCGAAGGCAGCUCACUGGACUGCAACUGACACUGAGGCUCGAAAGUGUGGGUAUCAAACAGGAUUAGAUACCCCGGUAGUC
rnacentral:rRNA from 1 species